rnacentral:rRNA from 1 species
GAUGAACGCUGGCGGCGUGCUUAACACAUGCAAGUCGAACGGAAAGGCUCCUGCUUGCAGGGGUACUCGAGUGGCGAACGGGUGAGUAACACGUGGGUGAUCUGCCCUGCACUUCGGGAUAAGCCUGGGAAACUGGGUCUAAUACCGGAUAGGACGAUGGUUUGGAUGCCAUUGUGGAAAGUUUUUUCGGAGUGGGAUGAGCUCGCGGCCUAUCAGCUUGUUGGUGGGGUAAUGGCCUACCAAGGCGUCGACGGGUAGCCGGCCUGAGAGGGUGUACGGCCACAUUGGGACUGAGAUACGGCCCAGACUCCUACGGGAGGCAGCAGUGGGGAAUAUUGCACAAUGGGCGCAAGCCUGAUGCAGCGACGCCGCGUGGGGGAUGACGGCCUUCGGGUUGUAAACUCCUUUCGCUAGGGACGAAGCGCAAGUGACGGUACCUGGAGAAGAAGCACCGGCUAACUACGUG